UACGUAGGGGGCUAGCGUUGCCCGGAAUCAUUGGGCGUAAAGAGCGUGUAGGCGGCUCGGUAAGUCCGCUGUGAAAGUCCAGGGCUCAACCCUGGAAUGCCGGUGGAAACUGUCGAGCUAGAGUCCGGAAGAGGCGAGUGGAAUUCCUGGUGUAGCGGUGAAAUGCGCAGAUAUCAGGAGGAACACCAAUGGCGAAGGCAGCUCGCUGGGACGGUACUGACGCUGAGACGCGAAAGCGUGGGGAGCAAACAGG
rnacentral:rRNA from 1 species